rnacentral:lncRNA from 1 species
AGUCCAUUGCCAACGCCAUCUUCGGCAUCUGCACCAGCAUCGCCAGGUCCCAGUCAGGGGACAUCUUCUGCGCGUCACCAGGCAGGACGGCCGCCAGUUCAGCGGCAGGCGGAGGGGUCACGACAGGCCCCGAGCGGGCGCAUGUAUGCAGCCCAGACUGAGGAGGCGGCGGCAGUCGAGAAUGUGGUCGCAGGUAUCAUUUUACUUCAUGGUAUUCGAGUU